UGAGGAAUAUUGGUCAAUGGGCGGAAGCCUGAACCAGCCAUCCCGCGUGAAGGAAGAAGGCGCUAUGCGUUGUAAACUUCUUUUCCAGAGGAAUAAAAUUUUGUACGAGUACGGAACUGAAGGUACUCUGGGAAUAAGCAUCGGCUAACUCCGUGCCAGCAGCCGCGGUAAUACGGAGGAUGCGAGCGUUAUCCGGAUUCAUUGGGUUUAAAGGGUGCGUAGGCGGACUUAUAAGUCAGUGGUGAAAACCUGCAGCUUAACUGUAGACGUGCCAUUGAUACUGUUAGUCUUGAGUAUGGUCAAGGUAGGCGGAAUGUGUAAUGUAGCGGUGAAAUGCUUAGAUAUUACACAGAACACCGAUUGCGAAGGCAGCUUACUGGUCCAUUACUGACGCUGAUGCACGAAAGCGUGGGGAGCGAACAGG
rnacentral:rRNA from 1 species